UACAGAGGUGGCGAGCGUUGUUCGGAUUUACUGGGCGUAAAGUGCGUUGAGGCGGCCUUGUAAGUUGGACGUGAAAGCCCUCGGCUCAACUGAGGGAGGUCGUUCAAUACUGCAGGGCUUGAGGACAGCAGAGGGAGGUGGAAUUCCCAGUGUAGCGGUGAAAUGCGUAGAUAUCGGGAGGAACACCAGUGGCGAAGGCGGCCUCCUGGGCUGUUCCUGACGCUGAAGGCGAAAGCUAGGGGAGCGAACGGGAUUAGAUACCCGGGUAGUCCCU
rnacentral:rRNA from 1 species